rnacentral:tRNA from 1 species
GUUGAGAUGGACUAACGAGAGCUUCCCAAGCUCUAUACGAGGGUUCGAUUCCCUU